GUAAGUUUCACAGCUUUCUGAGCCCCUACUCGACCCAGGAAGCCCAGCUGGUACCUCCUCUCACUGGUAUGGCUCAAACCAGUGGGAGAAUUUGCAGAGGUCUGUGAGCAUCCCCUCCAGAGAAUCUCUGAUCUCCAAAAAUUUGGUCAAGAUCUAAAGUUUAUUUUGCUGUACACCUCCCUUCUUUUUUGGAGUUUUACUUGCUCCCAACAAGGAAGGAGAGACUUCCUGUAUCCAUCACAAUGAAAGAAUGGUAGAAAGCAGUCUUCAGCCUGAGACCCAUCCCUAGACUCUAUGGCACAAAGAGGCACUACAGAAAAUCCCAGAAUUUAUUCUGACUGAAGCAAUAUGCAACUGGCAAAACUGGCAGCUGAAAGGAUCCUGAAUAAGAAGGCCUCCCUAUUUCCUGCGACACAACAAUAUUAAAAUUAGGCCAUUUAAUAAUAUAAAAUAGUCUCUAAAUGUUCCAUGGAAAGGAAGAGUUGCAAGUCUCUCGCUUUCAACUGAAAGUCAGAAAUGAUUAAGUUUACUGAGGAAAGCAUGCCAAAACACAAAGACAGGCCAAAAACUAGAUCUCCUGCAUCAGUUAACUACAUUGUAAAUGCAAAGGAAAAAUUUUGGAAGGAAGUUAAAGUGCUGCUCCAGUGAACUUUAUGAAUGAUGAUAAAACCAAAGAGGCCUAUAGAUGAUAUGGAGAAAAUAUUAGUGAUCUGGAUAGAGGAUGAAGCAAGCCAUAGCAUUCUUUUAAGCCAAAGCCUAAUCUACAACAAGGCUCUAUUCUCUUCAAUUCUGUGAAGGCUGAGAGAGGUGAGGAAGCUGCAGAGGAAAAUUUAAAGAUAGUCGUAGUGAGUUCUAGAGAUUUAAGGAAAGAAGCUGUCCCCAUAACAUAAAAGUACCAGAUGGAGUAGUAAGUGUUGAUAUAGAAGCUGCGGCUAGUUAUACAGAAGAUCUAGCUGAGCUAAAUGAUGAAGGUGUCUACAUUAAAUAACAGAUUUGUAUUGUAGAUAAGGCAAUCUUCUGUUGGAAUAAGAUGUCAUCUGGGACUUUGAUAGCUCAAAAGAAGUCAUUGCCUGGUUUCAAAGCUUUAAAGGACAGGAUGACUUUCUUGUUAGGGGCUAAAGCAGCUUGUGAUAAGUGGAAGCCAAUGCUCAUUCAUCUUUCCAUUAAUCCUAGGGCCCUUAAUAAUUAAAUUUACUCUGCCUGUGCUCUAUCAAUGAAACAACAAAGCCUGGAUAAUAGCACAUCUAUUUGUAGCAUGGUUUACUGAAGAUUUAUACCCAUUUUUGAGAUUUACUGCUCAGAAAAAAAGAUUUCCUCAAAAUAUUACUGCUCAUUGACAAUGCACCUAGUUACACAAGAGCCCUACAAAGAGAUCAAUGUUGUUUGCAUACAUAACACAGCAUCCAUUCUGCAGCACAUGGAUCAAGGAGCAAUUUUGACUUACAAGUGUUAUUAGUUAAGAAAUGUACUUCAUAAACCUAUAGCUGCUAUAAAUAGUGAUUCCUCUGAUGGACCUGUGCUAAGAAAAUUGAAAAUCUUGUGGAAAGAAGUCAUCAUUCUAGAUGCUAUUAAGAACAUUCAUCAUUUAUGGAAAAAGGUGAAAACAUCAACGUUAACAGGAGUUUGGAAGAAGUGGAUUCCAAACCCCAUGGAUGACCUUGAAUGAGUCAAGACUUCAGUGGAGGAAGUAACUGCAGAUGUUGUGAAAAUACCAAAAACCUAGAAUUAGAAGUGGACCCUGAAGAUCUGAAUAAAUUGCUGUCAUCUCAUGAUAAAAUUUUAAUGGAAGAGGAAGUGCUUCUUAUAGAUGAACAAAAGGAAUGGUUUCUCUAGUUGGAAUGCACUCAUAGUGAAGAUGUUAUGAACAUUGUUGAAAUGACAACAAAUAAUUUAGUGUAUUACAUAAACUUAGUUAAUAAGGAAGUAGCAAGGUUUGAAAGGAUUGACUCCAUCCAAUUUUGAAAGAUGUUCUAUUGUGGGUAAAAUGCCAUCAAAUGGCAUCACAUGCUACACAUAAAUAUUUCAUGAAAGGAAGAGUCAAAUAAUGCAACAAACUGCAUUGCUUUCUUAUUUUAAGAAAUUGCCGCAGCCACCCCAGUCUUCAGCAACUACCAUCCUAAUCAGUCAGUAGCCAUCAAAGUUGAAGAAAGACCAUACAUCUGAAAAAGAUUACAACUCACUGAAGAUGAUAGUUAACAUUUGUUAGCAUGAAGCAUUUUAAUUAAGGCAUGUAUGUUUGUAGACAUGAUGCUAUUUCACACAUAAUAGACUAAGGUAUAGUGUAAUCAUAACUUUUAUAUGCACUGAAAAACCAAAAAAAUUGUGACACCUGCUUUAUUGUGAUAUUCACGUUAAUGUGGUGGUCUGAAACUGAACCCACAAUAUCUCGAAGUUAUGUCUGUAAACCAAUAUGCGUUUAUUGCUGUGAAAAUAUUUUGUAUAUGCCAUUAACGUCUACAACUGGUUCACUUUAAAUAAAGGAGUUUAUCUCCGGUAAUCUUGGUGGUCCUCAUCUUUUUCCUUUUUUUUUUUUCUUUUUCUUUUUUUUUUUUUUUUUUUUGAGUCAGAGUCUCACUUUAUUGUCAGGCUGCAGUGCAGUGGCGCGAUCUCGGCUCACUGCAACCUCUGCCUCCCGGGUUUAAGCGAUUCCCCUGCAUUAGCCUCCUGAGUAGCUGGGACUACAGGCAUGUGCCACCAUGCGCAGCUCAUUUUUGGUCUUCAUCUUAUCAGAUAAAAAGCUUAAUGACAAACCUGAAUUUCCCUGAGGAAAAAUAAAUUCUGCCUCAAGACUGCAGCACAAGCACCUGCCAUUGAGUUCCCAGGCUGUUUUUGGCUUGUUUUAUAGAAAAGAUACUGUUCAUUCCCCACAACCUCAUAAGCCAAUUCCUUGAAAUAAAUCUCCCUUAUGCCUAUGCUCAUUUCCAUAGACACAGAGAACCAUUUGACAAAAUCCAUCAUUCAUUACUAAUACAAACUCUCUUAAAACUAGGAAUACAAGGAGAAUGUAUGGAAAAUCUAAUGAAAACACCAUACUUAAUAGUGCAAGACUGA
rnacentral:lncRNA from 1 species